UUCAUAUGGAUCAGUUGGUAGAGCGUUGCACUAACAAUGCAAAGGUUGUGGGUUCAAAUCAAGCAAGAAC